AUGGUGCCGCUGUUGUCCGAGUCCAUGCUCUUGAACAUCUCCUUCAGCCCCCUGAUCUCCUCCUCCGACAAGCACCCCGCGAUCACCUGCCACGCGGCCUUCUUGAACUGGUUCAUAGCUCUGAACUGCUUGAGCCUGCCGAGGACAGCGUUGUCGAUCAGCGUGUCGGGCGCCUCGCCGUCCUCUUUGAUCCACGGAUGGACGUCGUGUGCAGAAAUCCUCCUCCUAGGGUCGGAGGUGAGCAUCUUCCUGACCAGGUCCUUGGCGCCGCCGGAGAUGCGCGGCCACGGGUCGUUGUUGAAGUCCACUUGCCCUCUCAGGAUGGAGUUGAAGAUGCCGUGCUCCGACUGCGCCCAGAACGGCGGGACGCCGCAGAGCAGGAUGUAG
rnacentral:rRNA from 1 species